AACGAACGCUGGCGGCAUGCCUAAUACAUGCAAGUCGAACGAGACCUUCGGGUCUAGUGGCGCACGGGUGCGUAACGCGUGGGAAUCUGCCCUUCGGUUCGGAAUAACAGUUAGAAAUGACUGCUAAUACCGGAUAAUGACGUAAGUCCAAAGAUUUAUCGCCGAAGGAUGAGCCCGCGUAGGAUUAGCUUGUUGGUGAGGUAAAGGCUCACCAAGGCGACGAUCCUUAGCUGGUCUGAGAGGAUGAUCAGCCACACUGGGACUGAGACACGGCCCAGACUCCUACGGGAGGCAGCAGUAGGGAAUAUUGGACAAUGGGCGAAAGCCUGAUCCAGCAAUGCCGCGUGAGUGGUGAAGGCCUUAGGGUUGUAAAGCUCUUUUACCCGGGAUGAUAAUGACAGUACCGGGAGAAUAAGCUCCGGCUAACUCCGUGCCAGCAGCCGCAGUAA
rnacentral:rRNA from 1 species